GUACCCCGAUGAUGUCAGCACUGGGCUCUGAUUCCUAUGGAGACACUUGGUGCCCCCCAGGCUUUGAUUCCCGGGGGUCUGAGGGACCC